rnacentral:rRNA from 1 species
UACGUAGGGUGCAAGCGUUAAUCGGAAUUACUGGGCGUAAAGCGUGCGCAGGCGGUUGUGCAAGACAGAUGUGGAAUCCCCGGGCUCAACCUGGGAAUUGCAUUUGUGACUGCACGGCUAGAGUGUGUCAGAGGGGGGUAGAAUUCCACGUGUAGCAGUGAAAUGCGUAGAGAUGUGGAGGAAUACCGGUGGCGAAGGCGGCAUCCUGGACCGACAUUGACGCUGAGGAGCGAAAGCUAGGGGAGCAAACGGG